rnacentral:lncRNA from 1 species
UGUUCCAUCCCCUUCCCUCCCGCCCCCACCACACACACCCUAACCCCUAGAGACCUGAUCUGGGAUGAGAUGAAGGCAAAGAAAGAAGAAACGGGGACUGUUUCUUCUUGUGGGCCUCACGGGUCCUGGGCACGAGACUCCUGCAAUCCUGAGAACUGGUCCUGUUGGAGGCUGGCAAGCAGUAUCUGGCUAACCUGCUGGGCCGCCUUCAGCCCUCCUCCCAGCAUGCACAGGGCCAGCGUCAAGAUUCAAGGCCGCGGCAGUGGGACGCUCAUGGAAGAAUGACGGCGAAAGUCUCAUACCAAGCCACAGUAUUCUGGUUCAAGGCAGGAUCAACUUGUUACUUUAUCUAGGAACCUGACAUUUUAUUAAGGAGAAACAAGAGGGAAGAGGAAUUUGUAUCUAGGAACAUCCCCUACUCCUCCAGCUCACAAAGAGAGCUUUGGAGAGAUCCCUGUGGAGAGAUAGUUACUAUUAUUUCUCCAUGACUCUGUAAUAAUAACAAUCUUCAAGACUCAGCAUGUCAGAGGAGUUGUAUCUGUGCUAUAGCCUAUGGAUGAAGGCCUUCAAGCUCCUACACAUGAAGAAAAUGGGUGAAGCCUUCUGUUCUCUAUAUGUUGCCCACAGCAACUCAUUAAACCAUCUACUAAGACAGGGAGACGUUUGGGAUCUUCAUCGGUCUCAAGAAAAGCUACAUCAAUGAAAUCAUUCUAGAAGUAUUGAAGCAUCUCCUUAUCCAGAUCUUCAGGCUUUCCCUACACACUGACUUCUUUCCCUUAGUGUCUCACCACCCACAGAAUGUAAAUUCCUAGAGGGUACAAGGGCUGCUUCCUUUUUGUCUCAAGCAAAGAGCCAGGUGGAAAAUCAAUCAAUCCAACAACAAACAUUUAUUAAGCCUUAUACUAUGUUCCAGGCAUUGUGCUAAGCACUAGGAUACAAAGAAAGGCCAAAAGAAAAAAAAAUUCCUUCCCUAAAGGAACUUAUAUUCUAAUCAGAGAGACAACAUGUAAAUUGGGUAUGUACAAAAUGGUGCAGUGGAUAGAAUGUCAGACCUGAAGUCAAGUAAGCUUGAGUUCAAAUCUGGCUUUAGACACUUACUAGCUGGGUAACCCUGGGCAAGUCAGUUAACCUCUGUUUGCCUCAGUUUCCUCAUCUGUAAAAUGGGGGCAACAAUAGCAGCUUCAUCCCAGGGUUGUUGUGAGGAUCAAAUGAGAUACCAAUUGUAAAGCACUUAGUAGAGUGCUAUCUAUCUUUCUAUCUAUCUAUCUAUCUAUCUAUCUAUCCA